CGCAGCCGCGGUAAUUCCAGCUCCAAUAGCGUAUAUUAAAGUUGUUGCAGUUAAAAAGCUCGUAGUUGAAUUUCGGGAUCAGAUUGUCGGUCGUGCCUCGGUACGCACUGGCAUUAUUGGUUCCUACCUUCUGAAGAACCGCGAUGUCAUUAAUUUGGUGUCGUGGGGAAUCAGGACUGUUACUUUGAAAAAAUUAGAGUGUUUAAAGCAGGCGCACGCUUGAAUACAUUAGCAUGGAAUAAUGAAAUAGGACGUUUGAUUCUAUUUUGUUGGUUUCUAGGAUCGACGUAAUGAUUAAUAGGGAUAGUUGGGGGCAUUAGUAUUCAAUUGUCAGAGGUGAAAUUCUUGGAUUUAUUGAAGACUAACUACUGCGAAAGCAUUUGCCAAGGAUGUUUUCAUUAAUCAAGAACGAAAGUUAGGGAUCGAAGACGAUCAGAUACCGUCGUAGUCUUAACCAUAAACUAUGCCGACUAGGGAUCGGAUGGUGUUAAUUUUAUAAUGACUCAUUCGGCGCCUUAAC
rnacentral:rRNA from 1 species